GUCAACGUCCUGCAAGAAAGAAAAGGCAAGAACGUCAGCGAUGGCUCCACUGACUGAUUAAGGCAAAGGAAGUCGCCACUAUGCCCUGGAUCUGUUCCUGAAGGAUUACAGCAUGAAGAAAAAUAAUCCCCAGAAUAACAUACGUGUGACAGACCAGGAUUCAGCCCACAGCCUGGAGCCAAGACACCAUCCGACCCAGAUGAACCUGCGUGGAUCACCUGAGCCACUAGUGACCCAGAGAUCCUGAGAGUGAAAAACAUGCAUGGUCCUAUACACCACUGAGUUUUGGGAUGACUUGUUACUUAGCACUAUUAUGACAAUUGCUGACUAAUAUACCAGGCUCCUGGAAGAUUUGUUGUGAGGUUCUCAUAAAAUGAUGAAUGUGAAAUUGCAUUGUAAGCUGCUUUUAAAAAAGGUACUUAGCUGGAGUGAAAGCUCUACAAAGGCAGAAAUUGUUUUGCUACUGUAACUAGAUGAGUUCCUGGAAUAAAAUAGUAGCUCAAUAAAUACCAUAUUAAUUGAA